GACAAUGAGAUGUUGCUGUCCCGGGAGUGU
rnacentral:piRNA from 1 species